GGAGCAGUGUAGCAGAUGCAGUGAUGGGGGCAGGACCAGGAGAACUCGAGCCCACAGAGAACCAACAGGAACUCCAGCCCACAGCCUAGCUGGAGCAUGGGGCUGUAUGUCACCUGAACAGGAGUGUGCUCUCUUGGGCAUGGAUCUAAUCCUAUUUGUUAAGCCCUGCCACUGGGCAACAAUGGAAAUGCAUGCAUCCUCCUGAACCAAAAAUUUGCUCAGUAAAUGAGGUGAUUCUU